AUACAAUUCAGUUGAUUUCCGUAGUUCAAACAAGCAACACCUUCGGAAUUGAACUCCAAAUUCUAAGUGAUUUUCGGUUGUCUUUUAAAUUUAACAAAUUUUCGGCUAGUUUUAAGAAUAAAGUUUUGUUAUUUAAUAUUAGUUCUAAGUAUAAAGUGAAAUUACUUAUAUCGAAUCAUAGUGCACCAGAAUUCUUGAAGCACCAAAAACAGACUCGGCUCUUCCUUUUCUUUUCGAUUGGUAAAUAUUUGUUAUAUCGUUUAAUUUGAUAAAAUUCCUUCUGAACAGUACAAUUUUUUUUCAGUUUUUUUUUUUUUUGAGUUUUUAACACAUUUCCAUUUAUGUUUUCGGGAUAUGCAAAACUAAUAAAACAAACCGUUAUAGUGGUAAGACUUAUAUGUGUAAUCGCCUACGCUGACAAUGGGCAAUAAGAAUGAACUCUUGCCCCGUAUUGAAAGGAUAUCUCUUUGGAAACUACACCAUACUUCGAUCAAACACACCAAACUGGCAAAGCAAGCCUUCCGAAAAUGCCAUGAUGACACCAUUACAUGUGUUCUUCUUGCAGGAGAUUACAUAAUAAAAUCAGAAACUCUACCAGACUCAAAACCAUAUGAUAUACAACAGUUCGCAGAAUAUAUGUGGAUAUAAAACUAAAACCGUUAUACAUAAGAAUAAUAUAUCAUUUUAAUACUAAUCAUAGAGAUAACUCUCUCUCCUCGUUCAGACACACCAUACCUGGAUCAAACACACCAAACUGGCCAAGCAGGAGACCUUCCCUAAAUACCAUGAUGACACCAUUACAUGUGGAUGGGGAAUUAUAUAUUAAAAACAAAUGCUCGACUACACUGAACAUCAAAAUACAUUUGGAUAUAAUACUUAAACCUUUAAAUAUAAUAAAUUUACACUUUUACACUUCAAGCAAGCCUCCCGAAAAUGCCAUGAUGACACCAUUACAUGUGUUCUUCUUGCAGGAGAUUACAUAAUAAAAUCAGAAACUCUACCAGACUCAAAACCAUAUGAUAUAUAUCAGUUCGCAGAAUAUAUGUGGAUAUAAAACUAAAACCGUUAUACAUAACAAUAUAAUAUUUUAAUACUAAUCAUAGAGAUAACUCUCUCUCCUCGUUCAGACACACCAUACCUGGAUCAAACACACCAAACUGGCCAAGCAGGAGACCUUCCCUAAAUGCCAUGAUGACACCAUUACAUGUGUUCUUCUUGCAGGAGAUUACAUAAUAAAAUCAGAAACUCUACCAGACUCAAAACCAUAUGAUAUACAUCAGUUCGCAGAAUAUAUGUGGAUAUAAAACUAAAACCGUUAUACAUAACAAUAUAAUAUUUUAAUACUAAUCAUAGAGAUAACUCUCUCUCCUCGUUCAGACACACCAUACCUGGAUCAAACACACCAAACUGGCCAAGCAGGAGACCUUCCCUAAAUACCAUGAUGACACCAUUACAUGUGGAUGAGGAAUUAUAUAUAGCAAAAACAAAUGCUCGACUACACUGAACAUCAAAAUACAUUUGGAUAUAAUACUAAAACCUUUAAAUAUAAUAAAUUUACACUUUUACACUUCAAGCAAGCCUCCCGAAAAUGCCAUGAUGACACCAUUACAUGUGUUCUUCUUGCAGGAGAUUACAUAAUAAAAUCAGAAACUCUACCAGACUCAAAACCAUAUGAUAUAUAUCAGUUCGCAGAAUAUAUGUGGAUAUAAAACUAAAACCGUUAUACAUAACAAUAUAAUAUUUUAAUACUAAUCAUAGAGAUAACUCUCUCUCCUCGUUCAGACACACCAUACCUGGAUCAAACACACCAAACUGGCCAAGCAGGAGACCUUCCGUAAAUGCCAUGAUGACUCCAUUACAUGUGGAUGGGGAAUUUGAUAUUACAUAUUAAAAACAAAUACUCGACUACACUGAACAUCAAAAUACAUUUGGAUAUAAUACUGAAACCUUUAAAUAUAAUAAAUUUACACUUUUACACUUCAAGCAAGCCUCCCGAAAAUGCCAUGAUGACACCAUUACAUGUGUUCUUCUUGCAGGAGAUUACAUAAUAAAAUCAGAAACUCUACCAGACUCAAAACCAUAUGAUAUAUAUCAGUUCGCAGAAUAUAUGUGGAUAUAAAACUAAAACCGUUAUACAUAACAAUAUAAUAUUUUAAUACUAAUCAUAGAGAUAACUCUCUCUCCUCGUUCAGACACACCAUACCUGGAUCAAACACACCAAACUGGCCAAGCAGGAGACCUUCCCUAAAUGCCAUGAUGACACCAUUACAUGUGGAAUUUGAUUGUGGUAAUUUGAUAUUACAUAUUAAAAACAAAAGCUCGAAUACACUGAACAUCAAAAUACAUUUGGAUAUAAUACUAAAACCUUUAAAUAUAAUAAAUUUACACUUUUACACUUCAA